AGAAAAAACCAUCUGUAAAACAGGGCUGCUAACUUUGUUUUGGGUGAUUGAGCUCAUCCUUUUUCUU
rnacentral:tRNA from 1 species